UUUUUUUUUUUGCUUCGGUGAAAUGUGAAUUGGAUGGUUCGUUACCUUAGGGAUCUUGGAAGUUUCAUUUGUGUAGAGGUUCAUGGUUGGAUUGUGAAUGGUGUGUUUCGAUUGAGUUAAAAUGUGUUUUUUUUAUUGCUUGUUGUUGUCAUAUUUUGUAGUGAAGGUUGGGAUACCUAAGUUCUUGAGUGGGAUUGGCGGAGGAGUUGAGACUCACAUUGCAAAACUUAAAACUGAGAUUGGUGAUCUUUCGAAACUGCUUGUGACUCGUACGGUUUCUAGCGGUUGUGAUUGAUACUUGUGCUCGGUAUAAAGGUGUGAUUGAUUCAUGUGCUCGGUAUAAAGGAUUCUGAUAACUUUCCCAGAGCUGACGCUAUAAAGGUGUGAUUGAUUCCUGUGCUCGGUAUGGCUUAGAAGAUAUUCGAAAGACCUUCUUCUUUUGCAAUUGUAUCCUUCUACUUCACUGAUAUUGAUAUUUUCGAUAGAAGCAUGACUUCUUGUAGGAAUGGGAACAUAUUUGCAGGUCUUGGCAAUAAUAUCGGAUUGCUAAAACAUCCUCUCUGCUUUCUUUGUCUAGUAUUAUAAUCUUGAGUUAUGCAUCUCUUCUUUUUAUAUAUUGUUGUUGCUGACUUCUGAUUUCCAGGCCUGUCUCGGACGUUACGAGUGACUUAACCAUCGAAGUAGGCUCUGCCAGCUUUUCUCUCCACAAGAUUUGGCGGUUCAAUCAGGAUAUCCCAGAGAAGCACUUAGUUACAGCUAAAGAUGAUUUAAAUCCAUGGUUGGAGCUCUUAGGAAAUGCUGUGAAAGAAGCUGGAGGGAAGACUAGUGAGCCUGAGAUUUUCCCUACAUCAACUGAUUCUCCAUAUGUAUGUCUCAAUCCUCAAGGCUUACACAUCAUAUGUUUUAUAUGCCAUUGUUUAGGAUUUGAAUGUCUGUGUUUUUUUAUUUAUGAUUACUGCAAGUAUUGAGAGAAUGAGCAUAUAAUUUUUUUCAAUUUGCAAAGCAGUUUCAGUUUUAUGA